CCUACGGGAGGCUGCAGUGGGGAAUAUUGGACAAUGGGCGAAAGCCUGAUCCAGCCAUGCCGCGUGUGUGAAGAAGGCCUUCGGGUUGUAAAGCACUUUCAGUGGGGAAGAAAGCCUUGGGGCUAAUACCCUCGAGGAAGGACAUCACCCACAGAAGAAGCACCGGCUAACUCCGUGCCAGCAGCCGCGGUAAUACGGAGGGUGCGAGCGUUAAUCGGAAUUACUGGGCGUAAAGCGCGCGUAGGCGGUCUGAUAAGCCGGUUGUGAAAGCCCCGGGCUCAACCUGGGAACGGCAUCCGGAACUGUCAGGCUAGAGUGCAGGAGAGGAAGGUAGAAUUCCCGGUGUAGCGGUGAAAUGCGUAGAGAUCGGGAGGAAUACCAGUGGCGAAGGCGGACUUCUGGACUGACACUGACGCUGAGGUGCGAAAGCGUGGGUAGCAAACAGGAUUAGAUACCCCGGUAGUC
rnacentral:rRNA from 1 species